UCAAGGUUUUGCGGAGACAUGUCAGGUCUGAACAGAGCGCCGAAGGUGCAAAUCUGGAACAGGCGAACCCAGAUGAAACUCUCAGGCAAAAGGACCCUGCUCCCGAA
rnacentral:ncRNA from 2 species